CCUACGUGUGGCUGCAGUGAGGAAUAUUGGUCAAUGGACGCGAGUCUGAACCAGCCAAGUAGCGUGAAGGAUGACUGCCCUAUGGGUUGUAAACUUCUUUUAUAAAGGAAUAAAACGAGGCACGUGUGCCUUUUUGUAUGUACUUUAUGAAUAAGGAUCGGCUAACUCCGUGCCAGCAGCCGCGGUAAUACGGAGGAUCCGAGCGUUAUCCGGAUUUAUUGGGUUUAAAGGGAGCGUAGAUGGGUUGUUAAGUCAGUUGUGAAAGUUUGCGGCUCAACCGUAAAAUUGCAAUUGAUACUGGCAGUCUUGAGUACAGUUGAGGUAGGCGGAAUUCGUGGUGUAGCGGUGAAAUGCUUAGAGAUCACGAAGAACCCCGAUUGCGAAGGCAGCUUACUAAACUGCGACUGACAUUGAUGCUCGAAAGUGUGGGUAUCAAACAGGAUUAGAUACCCGGGUAGUC
rnacentral:rRNA from 1 species